CUUCCGCAAUGGACGAAAGUCUGACGGAGCACGCCGCGUGAGUGAUGAAGGUUUUCGGAUCGUAAAGCUCUGUUGUUAGGGAAGAACAAGUACCGUUCGAAUAGGGCGGUACCUUGACGGUACCUAACCAGAAAGCCACGGCUAACUACNUGCCAGCAGCCGCGGUAAUACGUAGGUGGCAAGCGUUGUCCGGAAUUAUUGGGCGUAAAGGGCUCGCAGGCGGUUUCUUAAGUCUGAUGUGAAAGCCCCCGGCUCAACCGGGGAGGGUCAUUGGAAACUGGGGAACUUGANUGCANAANAGGAGAGUGGAAUUCCACGUGUAGCGGUGAAAUGCGUANAGAUGUGGAGGANCACCAGUGGCGAAGGCGACUCUCUGGUCUGUAACUGACGCUGAGGAGCGAAAGCGUGGGGAGCGAACAGGAUUAGAUACCCUGGUAGUCCACGCCGUAAACGAUGAGUGCUAAGUGUUAGGGGGUUUCCGCCCCUUAGUGCUGCAGCUAACGCAUUAAGCACUCCNCCUGGGGAGUACGGUC
rnacentral:rRNA from 1 species